CCCACCCGAUUUUCUUCUCCCUCCGCCCGGAAACUUCACCACCGCCGUCCGGCCACCACCGACCGCCAGACUGGUCCCGUUCGGACCCUUGCCUCUUCCUCUCUCAUCCUGGACCGGUGCACGCGUGCGGAAUGCCGCCGUGAAGGAGCGGUCAACCCCGAAAGGUUCGACUGCCGGAAAGGGUUUUUCGCCGGAGCUCCGUCUUCCGGCCACCAUAGGUCGUGAUUUUUGGCUCAACUUGUAGCCCUCAUCUAGGUGAGUAAUCCCUCAAAAGGUUUCGGCUAAAUUCGAUUUCGUUAGGGUGGUUUGUAUAAUUGAAAGUUUUAGGGAUUUAUGGAUGUUUUUAGUCGAUUGCCCUAGUUAGGCUUGGAAUUGGUGUUUAUGCUAGUUAUGAAAGUUGUAGAGCUUGAUGAGAGGAAGAUGCUGUUUAAAUUUCAUAGGAAUUGGAGGUCGCCGGAAUUGGCCUUCGGCCGCCGCCGGUUGGGAGAUUUUAAUGUUGUUAAAUUUGGAAUAUUAAGGGGAGUUUAUUGAAGUGAGUUAUUGAAUUUUUGGAUGAGUUUUGGAUAGGUUUAUGAAUUUCCGAAGUUAGUAUUUUUGGCGGUUAAUUUAUGUAGAAUCCGGCCGUUGGAUUAAGUUGUUUAAUCUGUGGGAAGGUGUAGUUACAGCUGCUGGUUCUAGGGUUGAAAUGUGGACCAUUUCGAAGUUAGGCAAUGAUGAGCGUGUUAAUGGCUCUCGGUUAAUUUCUGCCUAUUUUGUGUAAAUAUUGGAAUUUCGGCUGGGAACUUAAUAUUAUAUUUAGAACAGGUCGUGAGGAGGCUCGAGCUGAUGAGGCCCCAGAUCGACAUCAGGCUUAGGCCUAAUUAGUGAGUGGACUUUUGUUUUAAAUAAUGUGCGUGCGAAAUAAUUUAUGUUGUUGGAGAAUAACCGAAAUUGAGAAUUUCGGUGAGUGUAUAUAUAUAUAUCCAUAUGUGGAUGAUUAUGAGAAUAAUAUGUAUAUGAGAGAAUGCUAGCUAGCUAUACGUGUUUUUCCACUAUACU
rnacentral:lncRNA from 1 species